AUAUGAGAGUUGUUUUGAUUAAACUGUUGGUAUGGUUUGUCUGCAUUCCUCAAAGAAUUAACUUUUUUUUUUUUUUUUUCUAUUUUUUCUUUCCUGCAGAGGCCUCUUGUGCAAACCCUUUUGGACGAUUCAGUUCGUAUUACUCAUUUGCUGUGGAUUUAUCAAUCAUCAUGUCAUCCGUAUGCGUAAGUAUACAAUGGUAUUUAUGCCAUUAAAAGACCAGAUCAUCUCCAGAUGUAGGUGAGCCACUGACUAACGCACAUUGCGCUGCUACCUGAAUGCCACUGUGCGUGUGACAGCGGCUAACCAGCUUCUCGGACUGCAACUGACUGCUCUGGCCUUAACUAUUCCUUGCUCACUGACUUUGUUGGAGAAACCACAUGCAGAAACAGACCAAAAGCACACUACCAAGAAUAUCCUUCUAUUUUACUUCGUCCCGUGGACACUUUACUAGCACUGUGUUAUAUAAUCCUGGCAACCUGACUUGGAAAUGACAAAUAAUAAAAUGUAUUUUCUUGUAAAAUGCCUUGUCAUAAUUCAAAUGUGUGCAUUUUGAAAAAUAAAUUUUGUACUUGCCAAAAAAGUGUUUUAAUUUUCAGUGGAAUUUUGUAACAGUGCACAUCCUUGCUUAUAAUGUAGA